rnacentral:lncRNA from 1 species
UCCAUAGAGGCCGGACAUCUGUACGGCUCAAGCGUCUACAAAUCUGUAAUUAUUAGAAGUGAUGAAUAUCUACCCACAUCAAGGUAAUGAGAUCUGAUCUCAUAUUUAUUUCUAAAUUUCAAAUUGUAUAUAUGUGUUUUCUCCUGGGCUUAGGUAUUAGAUUUGAUCUUUUGCAUGUGAGGUUAAAGGGUAUAAUCCAUUUUGUUUCUGCUGUAUUUUUAAAAAUUUUUGAAAUCUACACAUGCUGCCUAUCUGAUUUUCUAACAUGAAUUGUCCAAAGAGUUAAUAAGAUGGUGAUGCAUAUUUUUAAAUAUUGAAAAUUUGAGGUAUGUGUCAUUAAUGAUUAAUUUUUAAAUAUUUUUGAUUAAUGGAUAAUCAUAGGGACAGUGAUUGAUCCGAUCAGUGCACAAGUUGCUUUCUUUUUAGGUAGACAAGUUUUGAGUCCACAAUGUGGGGACACCGAAGUGAGAGUACAGGUAUUUAUUAAAGAACAAAGGUAUCGAGCGUAACCAUUACCAGAAACCACUUAGAUGGCUAUCUGCUCAUUAGUAACUUGCUCGAUACCGCAAUAAUAUGACUAGCCCUUAGACCAGAGGUGCCUCGGCUGUUCACAGUGAAGCUGCUAUAAUUUGACUAUACAUACACUUGGUUCUUAGCCAUAUGGAUCAUUAUGGUAC